rnacentral:rRNA from 1 species
UUAAAUUGAAGAGUUUGAUCAUGGCUCAGAUUGAACGCUGGCGGCAGGCCUAACACAUGCAAGUCGAACGGUAACAGGAAGAAGCUUGCUUCUUUGCUGACGAGUGGCGGACGGGUGAGUAAUGUCUGGGAAACUGCCUGAUGGAGGGGGAUAACUACUGGAAACGGUAGCUAAUACCGCAUAACGUCGCAAGACCAAAGAGGGGGACCUUCGGGCCUCUUGCC